rnacentral:tRNA from 1 species
UGUAUAAUAGUGUAAACAGCACAAAAAGUUUUGAUCUUUUAAGAACAGGUGAAAUUCCAGUGUGUAUAU